GAUAUCUCAGAUCCAGUGUUGAUGUCUUGCAUAAGAAAGCUACAUCAUACUAAGAAAGAAACAUCAGCUUGGCCCAACUGAAAGACAAUCUGACAACCAGACUGGUUUAAGUGGCUUUUUGCAGCAGGGAAAAGAACAAUUUAACAAAAUAUUAAAUUCCAGCAACCCCUGGGAGUUUGGACCCUGGCACAGGCUCAUGGAGAUGCUGGUUGAGGGGGCUUGGCAGAACAGCAAGGUCAGCAGAUCUGUCGUGCCGCAGUGGCUCGGAGGACUCAGCCCAUUCCCACCUCUGGCCAGUAAUCCGCCCCAGCAUCCGCCACAGUCCAACCAGACACAUCCGCAGCUGUGCCAAACUAUUCUAACAUAUCCAGCAAGUGAGAAAUGCAAUGCAUUCAGUUUUAAUGCAUUCAGUUUUAAUGCAUUAAGUUCCUCUUUUAAGGAAUGAAAGCAAAAUAAAAUAUAGCAAAGAUGUUUUAUUGAUGUCUUCCCUUGGUCUUUUGAAUAGCAUUCCUAUCGACUGUGUAUAUCACUAGGUAAUGUUUGUUGAGCUUCAAUGAUAAUUUAGUUAGAUCAAAAAACUGUGAAUAACUUUACUUUUGACUAAAUUCCCAUCUGUGGAUUUCUUUAUAGAGCUGUUCUGAAGGAGCUGUUCUUUUGCCAUCAUUUACUGAUAUUCUUGCAAGUUUCUAACUUUCAAACCAGACUUUAGAUAUUGCACAGAACAGAUUGAAGCAGCAAGGUCAGUUGAGGUAAAUGUGUUGACUUCAGAGUGCACAACCCCCCCACCCCACCCCA
ensembl:lncRNA